GGACCAUCAUGUCGGUCUUGCCUCGGUACGUACUGGCAUCGUUGGUUUCUCCCUUCUGACGAACCAUGAUGUCAUUUAUUUGGUGUUUUGGGGAAUUUGGACUGUUACUUUGAAAAAAUUAGAGUGUUUAAAGCAGGCUUAUUAGGCUUGAAUACAUUAGCAUGGAAUAAUGAAAUAGGACGAUUGAUCCUAUUUUUGUUGGUUUCUAGGAUUGACGUA
rnacentral:rRNA from 1 species